rnacentral:sRNA from 1 species
CUAAGUCCAUCGGGUUCUCUCCUCCCGGAAACCCGGGCACCGAAUGCAGCAACCUCCUCCCUUGCUGCAUUUUAAGAUCAAGGACCGCUGCACCUCCUCCCGCAGCGGUCCUUUUCG